CGAACGAGAAAGUGGAGCAUCCAUGAGUAAAGUGGCGACCGGGUGAGUAACACGUGACUACCUACCCUUGAGUGGGGGAUAACCUCGGGAAACCGAGGCUAAUACCGCAUAAUAUCGAAAGAUCAAAGGAGUAAUCCGCUUUUGGAGGGGGUCGCGGCUGAUUAGCUAGUUGGUAGGGUAAUGGCCUACCAAGGCGAAGAUCGGUAUCCGGCCUGAGAGGGCGCACGGACACACUGGAACUGAAACACGGUCCAGACUCCUACGGGAGGCAGCAGUGGGGAAUUUUGCGCAAUGGGGGAAACCCUAAUGCAGCGACGCCGCGUGAGCGAUGAAGCCCUUCGGGGUGUAAAGCUCUUUCGACGGGAACGAUAAUGACGGUACCCGAAGAAGAAGCUGCGGCUAACUACGUGCCAGCAGCCGCGGUAAUACGUAGGCAGCGAGCGUUGUUCGGAAUUACUGGGCGUAAAGAGUGUGUAGGCGGUGUUCCAAGUCUGGUGUGAAAUCUCCCGGCUCAACUGGGAGGGUGCGCCGGAAACUGGGAUGCUAGAGUGUGGGAGAGGUAAGCGGAAUUCCUGGUGUAGCGGUGAAAUGCGUAGAUAUCAGGAGGAACACCUGUGGUGUAGACAGCUUACUGGACCACGACUGACGCUGAGACACGAAAGCGUGGGUAGCAAACAGGAUUAGAUACCCUGGUAGUCCACGCCCUAAACGAUGCAUACUUGGUGUGAGCGAUUCAUUUCGUUCGUGCCGGAGCUAACGCGUU
rnacentral:rRNA from 1 species